CGAAGCUAUCUAAGUUUAUAAGCAGGAGCGAGAGUACUAGGCUUGUCCCUUCGGGGACAUCCGAUAAAAUUGGAACGAUACAGAGAAGAUUAGCAUGGCCCCUGCGCAAGGAUGACACGCAUAAAUCGAGAAAUGGUCCAAAUUUUUUUCUUUACCCAAAAUUUCCCAAACCCAUUUGUGAAUUCUUCCAUGGCUUCGUUCUUUUACACUUUCUCCAUCUUCACAUACGUUUUGGAGUCUUUCUCAACAGGCCUUUUAAGGAGAAGUAUGGAAUGCCAACAGGCGCCUUCUAAUCAAUUGAUUCUCUAGCCAGGGUGGUGCAAACAUUUUAAGAUGCUGGUGCAGAGUUAUAUUGACAAAGCCGAGGAAAUCAAUUAGAACCAUGAAGCAAGGCAAAUAAAGAGAAUCCUGAUAUGCUGAUGAAGGUGUGGUGUGCCUAAUUUCCUUAGGUUACGAUUUGAUUUUCUUUUAAGAGGAAGAAAAAACUAUGACAGUUGCUCACUUAUAGGAAUGCAGAAUGAUAAAAAAUUAUGACAGUUUCCAGUGUGAUUCCUCCAUGUGAUGAAUAACUGUUAACAGUCCAGAUCAAAUCCUACAGUCAAUAAAUAUAUCCAUCCAACAUACGCACACACAUCAUUGUGUAAUUAGUCUCUCUAGCUAUGAGGGGUUGGGACCUAAAGCUGUGUAGUGUGCCACUAAAUGACCCACUGGGAAUAGUUCUGGAUUUAUACAUAUAAACAUUGCUUUAAUGUAAAGGAUUUGGUGCUUUGUUUAUGUUAAUUCUUUGUUUUUGGCAGUGGUUGUUGGUGUUUCUAUACUCUCUUUUGUUUUACAGGAACACAGUAGCUUAGUUAUGAUGGCUGGUUGGUUUCUCCCACCACCGUGGUAGAACAUAGCAAAAGAUGUUCUUCCAGUUGCGUAGAAAUCUUGAAUGAGGAAUUUAUUUGGAGGGAAAGAAUUUAUCCUCACCUAUCCAUCAGGUCAUGUGAAUAUGUGACCAAGUCCAAGUCUGAACGUACCAUUUUUUUUUUUUUUUUUUUUCAGUCUUCCAUUUGUAUUUUUUUUUCCUUUUAUAUAUAUUGUUAUA